AUGGGCUUAAGAGACCGUUUGGGCUUUAGCAGAAUGGGGGGAAGGGACUAAGAAGUUGUCAAUGUUCAAAUUCUUUGGCUGAGUCCUAGAACUUCAUAGUC